GGUGGAACCGUUCUCGUACCAUUCCUCAGAUGAGGAGGAGUCACCACAGUGCAAGGCAGAGGAACCCACCAAGGAAAAAGAAUAUACCCUGGUGGAACCGUUCUCGUACCAUUCCUCAGAUGAGGAGGAGUCACCACAGUGCAAGG